CAGUUAUUUAUCCCGCCAGCGAGAGCACUUUGUUUGUAAUUACAUUGGCAGUAAAAACGUCAGGACUAGCUUCUGCUCUUGGAUCUUCACUCCUGAAAACCACAACACUAUUAACUGCCAUCCAGGAUGUAAUAAUUAAUAUAGGGGUGUGCCACGUGCGGGGGAGGAGCAGAAACAAAAAGAGGUGCAUCAGUCGAUCGCCUUCAAAGAACGGCUGGGAAACACUUCUGAUGGUCCCUGGCAAUCGGGAAAAUGGUUGAGUUUUCUGACUCUGGCUCCUGUCCGUCCAUCCGUCCGCCUGUAGGUCUGUUUGUCUGUAGGUCUGUCCACCGGUAGGUCUGGCUGGCUGUAGGUCCGUCUGCCUAUAGGUCUGUCUGCCUAUAGGUCUGUCCAUCUGUAGGUCUGUCUGCCUAUAGGUCCGUCCCUCUGUAGCUUUGUCCAUCUGUAGGUCUGUCCAUCUGUAGGUCUGUCCAUGUGUCCAUCCACCCGCCUGUCCCCCCACGUGGCUGCCAGUGGUGCUCACCAUCCCCACUCCUCCGCUUUCUCUUUGUUAAUGCAGUUGAACGAAUCAGCAGCGCGUUGUGGGGUUGGUCUUAUUUUUUUCUCCUUGUUACCAUCACAAAACAGCCGAGAUAGGAGUGGGUGAAAAAUGACAGAUGAGCGGAAACAAAUCCUCCGGAAUCAUAAAAAGAUACCAAAGGGGGGGGAAAAAAAAGACAACUUUUUGCUGUGACUGUGCAGCAAAUCAAUAAAGCAGCACUACAGGGCUGCGCUGGAGAUAACAAGCAGAUGAUAUCAGUUUUCACGGAACAUAUUGUUUGGCAGGCAGUGCUCUGAGAGGCUGUAACAGUGCAUCAUAAAGUUUAAGUUAGUGUUGUUGGCUCGGAGAUUUGAAUAAAGCCUGCACGCUGACAUCCUUGAUGGUUAUUAUUUAUUCAACAGCCUGAGAUGUCAAACCUUGUUGUCUUCAGCUCGCUAUGCAAGAGGAGGUCAUUGCUGCGUGGGGGAUGAAUCCCAAUUUCACAGUGUGCUUCAGUUCAUGGGUAUAUCCUCUGCUGGAAAAGGGCUCCAGAGGUGCAUGGGGACACUCAGACCUCCAGCAGGGGAAAUCCCGACAGCAAUAACUGUGCCAUCGGAUGUGCAGCACCCCCAGGACCACACAUCUCCCCCUCUCCCCAUCACAACACAAGGAUUAACGAAACGGGCUAAUUGCUGCAGGGCUCCACAGCUCACCCACAAAUCACACUGAUGGACUCCAUGCCAAUGACAGAGGAGAAAUGAGUCCGCCGCGAGCAGCCGACCUUCCCUCCCCACCCCUACAUCAUUUGGGACACCCAAUCGAUAGGAGAAAUAUUAUUGGUGCUUAAAGUCAAACGGUUCCACUCCACCCCUCU
ensembl:lncRNA